rnacentral:rRNA from 1 species
UACGUAGUGUUCAAGCGUUAAUCGGAAGUACUGGGCGUAAAGCGUGCGCAGGCGGUUAUAUAAGACAGAUGUGAAAUCCCCGGGCUCAACCUGGGAACUGCAUUUGUGACUGUAUAGCUAGAGUACGGCAGAGGGGGAUGGAAUUCCGCGUGUAGCAGUGAAAGGCGUAGAUAUGCGGAGGAACACCGAUGGCGAAGGCAAUCCCCUGGGCCUGUACUGACGCGCAUGAACGAAAGCGUGGGGAGCAAACAGGAGUAGAUACCCCUUUAGUCC